ACAGAGGUCUCAAGCGUUGUUCGGAUUCAUUGGGCGUAAAGGGCGCGUAGGCGGCAAAUUAAGUCAGCUGUGAAAUCUCCGAGCUUAACUCGGAACGGUCAGCUGAUACUGAUCUGCUAGAGUGCGGAAGGGGCAAUCGGAAUUCUUGGUGUAGCGGUGAAAUGCGUAGAUAUCAAGAGGAACACCUGAGGUGAAGACGGGUUGCUGGGCCGACACUGACGCUGAGUGCGCGAAAGCCAGGGGAGCAAACGGGA
rnacentral:rRNA from 1 species